UGCAAACAAUUGCAGUGUUCACUCUGCUUGUUUUCUUCCUCCCAUCUCCCUGUGAGCUCUUGAAUGUCCUGAGAGGGAGGGAGUCCAGUAACUUGCAUUUGUGUCUAUUCUGAGCUGUGCAAACAAUUUAGGAUUCUCCAGGAGAGGGGUCUCUGCACCAGGGUCUGCCUGUGCCCAGGCUACUGAUAAUGCUGGAAGCCUGCACAGAAGUGACUGCUUGAUGUGCUCGUCGGUGGAGGCCACAAAACUUCCUUUGAACUUCAGAGCGGAGGAGAGCACCCAGCUGAUGUAUAGACUGGCAGAAUGGAGCAGCAGAAAAAUUAAGUUCCGUUUCUCAGCAAAGAUAAGCAACAGAGCGAGCGGUGAAGCAACACAAGGCUCGCCGGCGAGCAAAGCUCUCCUGGAACGGCGCAGACAGGCAGGGCGCUGGUAUGAAUAAAAACUGGGUGCCAGGGAGAGGCUGUCAGUGACAUUACUACCUGUCACACGUGUGUAAAAGUCAUCAAACAGCAGGUGGGCGGCCGUGACAGCCCCGGGAGAGACAUCUCUAUUAAUGCGCUCAGCACUGCGCCGGUACGAGGCUGGAGCGUGUUAAGGCAAGGCAGGCUGUUCCACUUAAGGUGGAAAAUGAUAUAUUCGGCAAUCAGAGUAAUUUGAUUUGGCUGAGGUUCAUGGCGUUUUGGAAUCUGAUGUGAAUCUUCCUAGUAUUGGAUCCUGCCCCAGAUUCCCAGCGCUGCAGCAUAUUGCAUCUCCCUUUUGGGCUGCAUGGAGUAAAUGAGCUUCUGAGCCUGGUGGUGCGGAUUUUGUACCCAGAUGGGUGACUUCUCUCAUCUUCUGUUAUAAACUGGGUUUCAGGAUUGCAAG